UGCGAAGGCAAGCGGAUCUCUUAAAGCCGUUCUCAGUUCGGACUGUAGGCUGCAACUCGCCUACACGAAGCUGGAAUCGCUAGUAAUCGCGGAUCAGCACGCCGCGGUGAAUACGUUCCCGGGCCUUGUACACACCGCCCGUCACACCAUGAGAGUCUGUAACACCCAAAGCCGGUGGGAUAACCUUUAUAGGAGUCAGCCGUCUAAGGUAGGACAGAUGAUUAGGGUGAAGUCGUAACAAGGUAGC
rnacentral:rRNA from 1 species